rnacentral:rRNA from 1 species
UUGGAGGGCAAGUCUGGUGCCAGCAGCCGCGGUAAUUCCAGCUCCAAUAGCGUAUAUUAAAGUUGUUGCAGUUAAAAAGCUCGUAGUUGAAUUUCGGGAUCAAUAUAUCGGUCAUGCUUAGGUAUGUACUGGUAUUAUUGAUUUCUCCCUUCUGAAGAACCAUGAUGUCAUUUAUUUGAUGUCGUGGGGAAUCAGAACUGUUACUUUGAAAAAAUUAGAGUGUUUAAAGCAGGCUUUCGCUUGAAUACAUUAGCAUGGAAUAAUGAAAUAGGACGUUUGAUUCUAUUUUGUUGGUUUCUAGGAUCGACGUAAUGAUUAAUAGGGAUAGUUGGGGGCAUUAGUAUUCAAUUGUCAGAGGUGAAAUUCUUGGAUUUAUUGAAGACUAACUACUGCGAAAGCAUUUGCCAAGGAUGUUUUCAUUAACCAAGAACGAAAGUUAGGGGAUCGAAGACGAUCAGAUACCGUCGUAGUCUUAACCAUAAACUAUGCCGACUAGGGAUCGGAUGAUGUUAAUUUUUUAAUGACUCAUUCGGCGCCUUACGGGAAACCAAAGUGUUUGGGUUC